UGGGGAAUUUUGCGCAAUGGGGGAAACCCUGACGCAGCAACGCCGCGUGGAGGAUGAAAUCCUUCGGGGUGUAAACUUCGCAAGAACGGGAAGAAUAAGUGAGAGCUAACAUCUCUUACGAUGACGGUACUGUUUGUAAGCUCCGGCUAACUCCGUGCCAGCAGCCGCGGUAAUACGGGGGGAGCAAGCGUUGUUCGGAUUUACUGGGCGUAAAGGGCGCGUAGGCGGCCACCGCAAGUCACUUGUGAAAUCUCCGGGCUUAACCCGGAAAGGUCAACUGAUACUGCGGGGCUAGAGUGCAGAAGGGGCAACUGGAAUUCUCGGUGUAGCGGUGAAAUGCGUAGAUAUCGAGAGGAACACCUGCGGCGAAGGCGGGUUGCUGGGCUGACACUGACGCUGAUGUGCGAAAGCUAGGGGAGCGAAC
rnacentral:rRNA from 1 species